UACGUAGGGUGCAAGCGUUGUCCGGAAUUAUUGGGCGUAAAGAGCUCGUAGGCGGCUUGUUGCGUCGACCGUGAAAACCCGGGGCUCAACUUCGGGCUUGCGGUCGAUACGGGCGGGCUAGAGUUCGGUAGGGGAGACUGGAAUUCCUGGUGUAGCGGUGAAAUGCGCAGAUACCAGGAGGAACACCGGUGGCGAAGGCGGGUCUCUGGGCCACUACUGACGCUGAGAAGCGAAAGCAUGGGGAGCGAACAGG
rnacentral:rRNA from 1 species